UACAGAGGGUGCAAGCGUUGUCCGGAAUUACUGGGCGUAAAGAGCUCGUAGGCGGUUUGUCGCGUCGUCCGUGAAAACUUGGGGCUCAACCCCAAGCUUGCGGGCGAUACGGGCAGACUUGAGUACUGCAGGGGAGACUGGAAUUCCUGGUGUAGCGGUGAAAUGCGCAGAUAUCAGGAGGAACACCGGUGGCGAAGGCGGGUCUCUGGGCAGUAACUGACGCUGAGGAGCGAAAGCGUGGGUAGCAAACAGG
rnacentral:rRNA from 1 species